UACAGAGGGUGCAAGCGUUAAUCGGAAUUACUGGGCGUAAAGCGCGCGUAGGCGGCUAAUUUAGUCGGGUGUGAAAGCCCCGGGCUCAACCUGGGAAUUGCAUCCGAUACUGAUUGGCUAGAGUAUGAGAGAGGGAGGUAGAAUUCCACGUGUAGCGGUGAAAUGCGUAGAUAUAGGAAGGAACACCAGUGGCGAAGGCGACCACCUGGACUGAUACUGACACUGAGGUGCGAAAGCGUGGGGAGCAAACAGG
rnacentral:rRNA from 1 species